rnacentral:rRNA from 1 species
UUUACAGAAGAAUAGAGAGUUUUUUCUUUGAUGUUCACCAAAACAACUCUUCUUUAAUCUUUUUGUGGGUUACAUACUGAGAGUAGUUGGUAUUUGGAUAUUAUAUGUAUCAAUGAUCCAGUGAACCCUGUUAAUUAA